GACGAACGCUGGCGGCGUGCCUAAUACAUGCAAGUAGAACGCUGAAGCGAGGAGCUUGCUCUUCUUGGAUGAGUUGCGAACGGGUGAGUAACGCGUAGGUAACCUGCCUUGUAGCGGGGGAUAACUAUUGGAAACGAUAGCUAAUACCGCACAACAAUGGAUGACACAUGUCUUUUAUUUGAAAGGGGCAAUUGCUCCACUACAAGAUGGACCUGCGUUGUAUUAGCUAGUAGGGGAGGUAAUGGCUCACCUAGGCGACGAUACAUAGCCGACCUGAGAGGGUGAUCGGCCACACUGGGACUGAGACACGGCCCAGACUCCUACGGGAGGCAGCAGGAGGGGAUCUUCGGCAAUGGGGGCAACCCUGACCGAGGAACGCCGCGUGAGUGAAGAAGGUUUUCGGAUCGUAAAGAUCUGUUGUAAGUCAAGAACGGGUGUGAGAGUGGAAAGUUCACACUGUGACGGUAGCUUACCAGAAAGGGACGGCUAACUACGUG
rnacentral:rRNA from 1 species